CCUACGGGCGGCUGCAGUGGGGAAUAUUGGACAAUGGGGGGAACCCUGAUCCAGCCAUGCCGCGUGUGUGAAGAAGGCCCUCGGGUUGUAAAGCACUUUCAGUGAGGAAGAACGCCUGGUGGUUAAUACCCAUCAGGAAAGACAUCACUCACAGAAGAAGCACCGGCUAACUCCGUGCCAGCAGCCGCGGUAAUACGGAGGGUGCGAGCGUUAAUCGGAAUUACUGGGCGUAAAGCGCGCGUAGGUGGCUUGAUAAGCCGGUUGUGAAAGCCCCGGGCUCAACCUGGGAACGGCAUCCGGAACUGUCAAGCUAGAGUGCAGGAGAGCAAGGUAGAAUUCCCGGUGUAGCGGUGAAAUGCGUAGAGAUCGGGAGGAAUACCAGUGGCGAAGGCGGCCUUCUGGACUGACACUGACACUGAGGUGCGAAAGCGUGGGUAGCAAACAGGAUUAGAUACCCUUGUAGUC
rnacentral:rRNA from 1 species